rfam:Camelus ferus unplaced genomic scaffold scaffold931, whole genome shotgun sequence.
GAGGGUAUAGAUCAGGUGGUAGAGCACAUGCUUAGCAUGCAUGAGGUCCUGGGUUCAAUCCUUAGUACCUCCA